AGCUUUCUGAAUCCGUGUUGCGAUUUCGUCAGAAACCAACCCAUUAGGGCCGAUCAAACUUCCAAGAUAAGUCGAGUU
rnacentral:pre_miRNA from 1 species